UCACGAUGAUGAGUGAUAAUGUUGCUCUUUGAGCGUGAAUCAGGCACAACGUGAGGUAUCUAUCUCAUGCUUUGUCAUUGAUGACUGUUCCUGUUCUUCUUUGGAGAGCAGGGGGAGAGUUGACAUUUUCAGAGUGGUUCCUCAAACAAUUGUAAAAA